rnacentral:rRNA from 1 species
GAGGAAUAUUGGUCAAUGGGCGAUGGCCUGAACCAGCCAAGUAGCGUGAAGGAUGACUGCCCUAUGGGUUGUAAACUUCUUUUAUAAAGGAAUAAAGUCGGGUAUGCAUACCCGUUUGCAUGUACUUUAUGAAUAAGGAUCGGCUAACUCCGUGCCAGCAGCCGCGGUAAUACGGAGGAUCCGAGCGUUAUCCGGAUUUAUUGGGUUUAAAGGGAGCGUAGAUGGAUGUUUAAGUCAGUUGUGAAAGUUUGCGGCUCAACCGUAAAAUUGCAGUUGAUACUGGAUGUCUUGAGUGCAGUUGAGGCAGGCGGAAUUCGUGGUGUAGCGGUGAAAUGCUUAGAUAUCACGAAGAACUCCGAUUGCGAAGGCAGCCUGCUAAGCUGCAACUGACAUUGAGGCUCGAAAGUGUGGGUAUCAAAC